rnacentral:rRNA from 1 species
AUUGAACGCUGGCGGCAUGCCUUACACAUGCAAGUCGAACGGCAGCAUGGAGAGCUUGCUCUCUGAUGGCGAGUGGCGAACGGGUGAGUAAUGCAUCGGAACGUACCGUGUAAUGGGGGAUAACGUAGCGAAAGUUACGCUAAUACCGCAUACGACCUGAGGGUGAAAGCAGGGGAUCGCAAGACCUUGCGUUAUACGAGCGGCCGAUGUCAGAUUAGCUAGUUGGUGAGGUAAAGGCUCACCAAGGCGACGAUCUGUAGCGGGUCUGAGAGGAUGAUCCGCCACACUGGGACGGGGACACGGCCCAGACUCCUACGGGAGGCAGCAGUGGGGAAUUUUGGACAAUGGGGGCAACCCUGAUCCAGCCAUGCCGCGUGAGUGAAGAAGGCCUUCGGGUUGUAAAGCUCUUUCGGCCGGGAAGAAAUCGCACAGGCUAAUACUCUGUGUGGAUGACGGUACCGGCAUAAGAAGCACCGGCUAACUACGUGCCAGCAGCCGCCGUAA